AUUGAACGCUGGCGGCAGGCUUAACACAUGCAAGUCGAGCGGGGGAAGGUAGCUUGCUACCGGACCUAGCGGCGGACGGGUGAGUAAUGCUUAGGAAUCUGCCUAUUAGUGGGGGACAACAUCUCGAAAGGGAUGCUAAUACCGCAUACGUCCUACGGGAGAAAGCAGGGGAUCACUUGUGACCUUGCGCUAAUAGAUGAGCCUAAGUCGGAUUAGCUAGUUGGUGGGGUAAAGGCCUACCAAGGCGACGAUCUGUAGCGGGUCUGAGAGGAUGAUCCGCCACACUGGGACUGAGACACGGCCCAGACUCCUGCGGGAGGUAGCAGUGGGGAAUAUUGGACAAUGGGGGGAACCCUGAUCCAGCCAUGCCGCGUGUGUGAAGAAGGCCUUAUGGUUGUAAAGCACUUUAAGCGAGGAGGAGGCUUACCUAGUUAAUACCUGGGAUAAGUGGACGUUACUCGCAGAAUAAGCACCGGCUAACUCUGUGCCAGCCGCCGCGGUAA
rnacentral:rRNA from 1 species